rnacentral:ncRNA from 1 species
ACAGUCAUUUGGCAAACUGGUCGAGAGGCCAGGACGCAAAGCCUCCGGUCCCCUGACCAGUCAAGGGAUAGCGGGGUUGCAGCA